ACGGGUCUUCUCACAUGUGAUCUUCGUAGAUUGCAGUCGAGUCUUCCAUACAACCAGAACGCUGAUCUACUCACCGUUUCGAGUAUCAGAGGAUGGGUCGAAAACACAGGUUAAUUUGGAAGUGAGUCCUAAUUUAUAAGGUUCAAGAGAAACGUAAUGAAUGGAUCAGUCGCAACCCUCCCCGUGACAUAACUCGAGAUCGACGAUGUUUGUGCAGUAGCGGAAACAAAUAAGUAGAAUUAGAUAACGACUCUAAUAGCUCCUUGAGCAGGUGCUAUUCUUCUGGGCGAACACUCCGCUAAGAGGAAACAAGAAGGUAAUUCUUCUCCUUUCUCUCUCGCACCAACUUUAGGUUUCAGAUUAAUUCGGGAGAUUUGCUGUGGGAAUUGUUAAUAAGUGCAGGUCAUGUUGGUAAGUUGGGCACUUUGGUUAUACGUAGAAGAAGUGGUCUUCAGUUGACAGUAUGCUCCUCUGUUUGUUUUUGGAUUUCAUCAAUUAAUGUCUAUGUUCCCAAAGAUAGGGUGACAAAAUCUUCGUUAAGACAAUUAAGGUUCUUAACAUGAUUAAGCUCCAUGGAAAGCCUAUAUGUGUUAACAAGUAGGCAUCUCAAGAUAAGAAGAUCAUCGAUGUUGGUGCUAACCUUUGGAAACAGUUAAAACGAUGGUUUAUAUUUACGCUUCUGCCAAAGGAUGCACAUUAGAAAAUCUUCUAAGAGAGAUGGAACAAAAUGGUUGUGGAUUUUGAGCCCUGCCAAUCGGGUUGUUCUUGAUAAGUCCGAAAUCUCCAAGAAGCGUAAAGAUUUCCCUGUCGGAGUUGGUCAUGUUUAUUUUGAUGCCAAGGGCCAAUAACUGCGGAUUUUAACAGAGUUCAACAAGUGAUCAUUCGACAGCAACUACUACGUUGAGAGAGCAGCACGGGGAUGGUAGUAGUGAAAAGACAAGUUUAAGCCAAGAUAGUAAAGAAAACAGUAAAGCUCGAGGAGGAGACAUCAGGAAAGUAAUAUCACAAGUUUAUUAAACUAACUGAUCUCACUCUCAAUACGCCAGAGAUACCAGCUAUGAAUGAGUGUUUUGUGGAGCUGGUUGCAGCAAGAGUCAUCGUAGAUUCUGUAAUCAGCGGAUGAUAGCAAAACGUGGUCGGAUUUCAAAAGAAGUUAUAUGAAAAAGGAUCUAUAGCAAAGUCGGAUGAAUGCUUCAAUCUGACCAACGUUGAUUCUCCACCUUACUAUCUUUUGCUCAUUAACUUUUCUUUUAAGAAUGCGUCACAAUUGGCUUCGAUUAGUUAUGAUGUGUUAUUGUAAAAGGAUCUAGCCAAAUGAGGAGGAAGAGCCUCACCUUUAAUUGCCAUGGAACGUAGAGAUUUGCUGCAACCAUAAAAGCUGGAUUUAGUCCACCGUUUGGUCUGGUUUGCACCUGCUUUGAGCUUUUUAGAUGCUGCUGCUGCAACUACUCUGGUGACGAACAUGCCUGGUGCUGUCAGCAAAACUCUGAAGCCAUGUCCUAUGCUGACGAGAAGUGUCCCAGUAAACACCAUAUGAGUUAGCGAUGAUCCUGUAAUUGCAGAAAGUCCGCAAGUCCAUCACCACAAUCUCCUCUAACUGAUGCAGACGCUAGCCCCCGCUGGUUAAACUUCUACAUCUAAGAAGGUCCGUCACACCUAAGGGAUCCAUCCAGCGAGUUUAAGUGCUGGGAACAAACUCGAAUCUUCUGCCUCCAACGAACAAAAUACUAACCAAGGAGAGAGAGCCCUCAAACUGCUUUUCAGACUGGCUAAAAAAAUAAUAUCAUAAGAAACACGUUGCUGAAGAUUCAAACCAAAAAACAGGAAAAAAAUAAUGCUACUAAUUUACACUAAACACUAAAUACCAGUGUUCCUAAUAAUACUGAUGAGUACAUUUCAAAAUUCGAAACAAACCCAACCACCAUUUU